CUGGGUGGUGCAAAUCGUUAAUGCGCUUGGCUGUUAACCAAAAGGUUAGCAGUUCGAGUCCACCCAGA
rnacentral:tRNA from 1 species